rnacentral:rRNA from 1 species
CACACGGGGACUGAGACACGGCCCCGACUCCUACGGGAGGCAGCAGCAAGGAAUUUUCCACAAUGGGCGCAAGCCUGAUGGAGCAACGCCGCGUGGGGGAUGACGCUUUUCGGAGUGUAAACCCCUUUUCGGGAGGACGAAGCCAAUGACGGUACUCCCGGAAGAAGGACCGGCUAACUACGUGCCAGCCGCCGCCGUAACAC